rnacentral:rRNA from 1 species
UACGUAGGGUGCAAGCGUUGUCCGGAAUUAUUGGGCGUAAAGAGCUCGUAGGCGGUUUGUCGCGUCUGCUGUGAAAACUGGAGGCUCAACCUCCAGCCUGCAGUGGGUACGGGCAGACUAGAGUGCGGUAGGGGAGAUUGGAAUUCCUGGUGUAGCGGUGGAAUGCGCAGAUAUCAGGAGGAACACCGAUGGCGAAGGCAGAUCUCUGGGCCGUAACUAACGCUGAGGAGCGAAAGCGUGGGGAGCGAACAGG